rnacentral:rRNA from 1 species
UACGAAGGGGGCUAGCGUUGCUCGGAAUCACUGGGCGUAAAGCGCACGUAGGCGGACUUUUAAGUCAGGGGUGAAAUCCUGGAGCUCAACUCCAGAACUGCCUUUGAUACUGGAGAGCUUGAGUCCGGGAGAGGUGAGUGGAACUGCGAGUGUAGAGGUGAAAUUCGUAGAUAUUCGCAAGAACACCAGUGGCGAAGGCGGCUCACUGGCCCGGUACUGACGCUGAGGUGCGAAAGCGUGGGGAGCAAACAGG